GUAUAUACUUUGGCCGUACAUGCACUAAAACUCGAACAAUAUAGAUAAAAUCACCAUAGUCCCUGCGCCAAGAUGACAUGAAAAUUCAUGAAGCAGUCCAUAUUUUU